CCUACGGGUGGCUGCAGUGGGGAAUAUUGGGCAAUGGGCGCAAGCCUGAUCCAGCAACGCCGCGUGAAGGAAGAAGGCUUUCGGGUUGUAAACUUCUAUCAGGAGGGAAGAGCAGAAGACGUUACCUCUUGAAUAAGCCACGGCUAACUAGGUCCCACCAGCCGCGGUAAAACGUAGGGGGCAAGCGUAGUCCGUUUUUAUUGGGGGGAAAGGGCGGUCAGCCGGCAAGCAAAGUCGGAUGUGAAAGCCCGGGGCCCAACCGCGGAACUGCCUUUGAAACUGUUUUUCUUGAGUACCGGAGAGGUAAUCGGAAUUCCUGGUGUAGCGGUGAAAUGCGUAGAUAUAAGGAGGAACACCAGUGGCGAAGGCGGAUGACUGGACGGCAACUGACGGUGAGGCGCGAAAGCGUGGGGAGCAAACAGGAUUAGAUACCCGAGUAGUC
rnacentral:rRNA from 1 species